rnacentral:tRNA from 1 species
GCCUGGGUGGCUCAGUCGGUUGAGCGUUUGACUUGGGCUCAGGUCAUCAUCUCACAGUUCGUGAGUUCAUGCCCCGCAUCAGGCU